ACGCUCGACACCUACGGGAGGCAGCAGUGGGGAAUAUUGCACAAUGGGGGGAACCCUGAUGCAGCGACGCCGCGUGAGUGAAGAAGUACUUCGGUAUGUAAAGCUCUAUCAGCAGGGAAGAAAAUGACGGUACCUGACUAAGAAGCCCCGGCUAACUACGUGCCACAGCCGCGGUAAUCUGAGCGGGCUGGCAAGGC
rnacentral:rRNA from 1 species